rnacentral:rRNA from 1 species
UACGUAGGGUGCGAGCGUUGUCCGGAAUUAUUGGGCGUAAAGAGCGUGUAGGCGCCAGGUAGGUCUGCUGUGAAAACUCGAGGCUCAACCUCGAGACGUCGGCGGAAACCAUCUGGCUAGAGUCCGGAAGAGGAGAGUGGAAUUCCUGGUGUAGCGGUGAAAUGCGCAGAUAUCAGGAAGAACACCCGUGGCGAAGGCGGCUCUCUGGGACGGUACUGACGCUGAGACGCGAAAGCGUGGGGAGCGAACAGG